rnacentral:rRNA from 1 species
AGCAAACGUUUGCGGCGGGCUUAACACAUGCAAGUCGAACGAGAAUCCCUUCGGGGAGGAAAGUGGCGCACGGGUGCGUAACACGUGGAUAACCUACCCAUUGGUUGGGGACAACACCGGGAAACUGGUGCUAAUACCCGAUGUGUCGUAGUGGUCGCAAGGCUGCUACGAGAAAGGCCCGCAAGGGUCGCCAGCGGACGGGUCCGCGUCCCAUCAGCUAGUUGGUGAGGUAAUGGCUCACCAAGGCGAAGACGGGUAGCUGGUCUGAGAGGAUGAUCAGCCACACUGGAACUGAGACACGGUCCAGACUCCUACGGGAGGCAGCAGUGGGGAAUAUUGGACAAUGGGCGCAAGCCUGAUCCAGCCAUGCCGCGUGAGUGAUGAAGGCCUUAGGGUUGUAAAGCUCUUUCAGUGGGGACGAUAAUGACGGUACCCACAGAAGAAGCCCCCGGCUAACUUCGUGCCAGCAGCCGCGGUAAU